CAACGUGCCCGGGGUCGGUGUAAGUCCGAACCGGCGGUGACAGUCCGCGAACCGCGGCCCCUCGUGGGGUCCGGCCGAACCGGUGGGAUUCCGGUACCGACGGUGAAAGUCCGGAGGGGAGAGCGCGUGA
rnacentral:ncRNA from 2 species